AGGUUAUGAUGUGGACAAUUCCUUAGCAAGUCAUUCAAACGCUCCCACACUUCAUGUAGGGGUUCUUUAUCUCUUUGGGAAAACUCACGAAUUAAAGUUCUCAUUGA